rnacentral:rRNA from 1 species
AAUGGGUCAGCGACUUAUAUUCUGUAGCAAGGUUAACCGAAUAGGGGAGCCGAAGGGAAACCGAGUCUUAACUGGGCGUUAAGUUGCAGGGUAUAGACCCGAAACCCGGUGAUCUAGCCAUGGGCAGGUUGAAGGUUGGGUAACACUAACUGGAGGACCGAACCGACUAAUGUUGAAAAAUUAGCGGAUGACUUGUGGCUGGGGGUGAAAGGCCAAUCAAACCGGGAGAUAGCUGGUUCUCCCCGAAAGCUAUUUAGGUAGCGCCUCGUGAAUUCAUCUCCGGGGGUAGAGCACUGUUUCGGCAAGGGGGUCAUCCCGACUUACCAACCCGAUGCAAACUGCGAAUACCGGAGAAUGUUAUCACGGGAGACACACGGCGGGUGCUAACGUCCGUCGUGAAGAGGGAAACAACCCAGACCGCCAGCUAAGGUCCCAAAGUCAUGGUUAAGUGGGAAACGAUGUGGGAAGGCCCAGACAGCCAGGAUGUUGGCUUAGAAGCAGCCAUCAUUUAAAGAAAGCGUAAUAGCUCACUGGUCGAGUCGGCCUGCGCGGAAGAUGUAACGGGGCUAAACCAUGCACCGAAGCUGCGGCAGCGACGCUUAUGCGUUGUUGGGUAGGGGAGCGUUCUGUAAGCCUGCGAAGGUGUGCUGUGAGGCAUGCUGGAGGUAUCAGAAGUGCGAAUGCUGACAUAAGUAACGAUAAAGCGGGUGAAAAGCCCGCUCGCCGGAAGACCAAGGGUUCCUGUCCAACGUUAAUCGGGGCAGGGUGAGUCGACCCCUAAGGCGAGGCCGAAAGGCGUAGUCGAUGGGAAACAGGUUAAUAUUCCUGUACUUGGUGUUACUGCGAAGGGGGGACGGAGAAGGCUAUGUUGGCCGGGCGACGGUUGUCCCGGUUUAAGCGUGUAGGCUGGUUUUCCAGGCAAAUCCGGAAAAUCAAGGCUGAGGCGUGAUGACGAGGCACUACGGUGCUGAAGCAACAAAUGCCCUGCUUCCAGGAAAAGCCUCUAAGCAUCAGGUAACAUCAAAUCGUACCCCAAACCGACACAGGUGGUCAGGUAGAGAAUACCAAGGCGCUUGAGAGAACUCGGGUGAAGGAACUAGGCAAAAUGGUGCCGUAACUUCGGGAGAAGGCACGCUGAUAUGUAGGUGAAGUCCCUCGCGGAUGGAGCUGAAAUCAGUCGAAGAUACCAGCUGGCUGCAACUGUUUAUUAAAAA